GACGAACGCUGGUGGCGUGCUUAACACAUGCAAGUCGAACGAAGUGGCGAACGGGUGAGUAACGCGUAAUCAACCUGCCCUUCAGAGGGGGACAACAGUUGGAAACGACUGCUAAUACCGCAUACUGAAGGAGGGGAUUGCGUCUGAUUCGCUAGUUGGAGGGGUAACGGCCCACCAAGGCGAUGAACAGUAGCCGGGCUGGAGGGAAGAACGGCCACAUUGGGACUGGGACACGGGCCAAGCUCCUACGGGAGGCAGCAGUGGGGAAACUUCCGCAAUGGACGAAAGUCUGACGGAGCAACGCCGCGGGAGUGAUGACGGGCUUCGGGUUGUAAAGCUCUGUUAAUCGGGACGCGGUACCGGAAUAGAAAGCCACGGCUAACUACGUGCCAGCAGCCGCGGUAAUAC
rnacentral:rRNA from 1 species